rnacentral:rRNA from 1 species
CCUACGGGAGGCAGCAGUAGGGAAUCUUUCACAAUGGGCGAAAGCCUGAUGGAGCAACGCCGCGUGCAGGAUGAAGGCCUUCGGGUUGUAAACUGCUUUUAUAAGCGAGAAAUAUGAUGGUAACUUAUGAAUAAGGAUCGGCUAACUACGUGCCAGCAGCCGCGGUCAUACGUAGGAGCCGAGCAUUAUCCGGAGUGACUGGGUGUAAAGAGUUGCGUAGGUGGCAUAAUAAGUAGCUAGUGAAAUCUGGUGGCUCAACCAUUCAGACUAUUAGCUAAACUGUUAAGCUCGAGACCGUUAGGGGUAACUGGAAUGUCUGGUGUAGGGGUGAAAUCCGUAGAUAUUAGAAGGAACACCAAUAGCGUAGGCAGGUUGCUGGGACGGUUCUGACACUAAGGCACGAAAGCGUAGGGAGCAAACGGGAUUAGAUACCCCUGUAGUC